rnacentral:rRNA from 1 species
UACAGAGGGUGCGAGCGUUGUCCGGAAUCACUGGGCGUAAAGGGCGCGUAGGUGGUUGGGGAAGCGUGUGGUGAAAGCCCGGGGCUCAACCCCGGGUCGGCCAUGCGAACUGCCCGACUGGAGCACUGGUCAGAGGCCAGUGGAAUUCCGGGUGUAGCGGUGGAAUGCGUAGAGAUCCGGAAGAACACCGGUGGCGAAGGCGGUC